CCGGCGCACGGGUGNGUAACGCGUAUGCGACCUGCCCGUUGCAGGGGGAUAAUCGGGAGAAAUCCCGUCUAAUACCGCGUAACGCCGCGGGGCUGCAUGGCCCUGCGGCCAAAGGGAGCGAUUCCGGCAACGGAUGGGCAUGCGUGACAUUAGCUAGUUGGCGGGGCAACGGCCCACCAAGGCGACGAUGUCUAGGGGUUCUGAGAGGAAGGUCCCCCACACUGGUACUGAGACACGGACCAGACUCCUACGGAAGGCAGCAG
rnacentral:rRNA from 1 species